CAUAGAAUCGAACAUCCUCACCAAUAAUCUAACGUAUUACGUAUUUCAAAAAUAAAAACAAAGAGCCAGCGACACAAAGAGAAGUGUGAAUUGAGAAGAGUUUGUAUGCCAACAAAGAGCAAGUGCGUGGGCAGGUACGUCAACGAAGCUUAAGGCAAACAAAACAUUUCCAUCCGUGACGCUGUGUCCGCCGCCCGCUAUUCAGUGCGUUUCUGUUGGCCAACGUCGUCUGCACAUCGGGAUUUGCGGGAAAUAUUGUUGCAGGCGCAGUGCCGAGGUCUGUGUACGUGCGUGUGGGAGGGAGCGACUACGUCAGUGUACUUGAUGUCUGAAAAGCAGAAUUAUAUAAUAAUAAUUCCAAAAGUGCCGAUUGAUUUUUCAACAUCACAAUCAUAGCCUUGCAGCUGCAUAUCGCAGAUAUUGUUAAACUCCUUCAAAUCCCAAGCCUUUGGAUAUGGCUCGUCCCGUCAUUGAAAACCAUCUUGUGCCGAUUGUAGUGGGUGUGGUUGCUGUGGUUGCCGGGGCCCUUAUUGUACACUACUUUCUGAACAAAAAGUCAACGAAACCGAAACGUGAACCAAAUCGUACUGCCCGACUUCGCACUCUGGUCGAUCCUAACGACAAAUACCAACUGCCUUUGAUCGAGAAGGAGGUGCUCAGUCAUGAUACGAGACGAUUCCGUUUCAGUCUGCCGUCCAAGCAGCACAUACUUGGCCUCCCAGUGGGUCAACACAUUCAUCUAAUCGCGACCAUUGACAAUGAAUUGGUCAUACGGCCGUACACACCCAUUUCGUCCGACGACGAUGUUGGCUAUGUGGAUUUGAUUGUCAAGGUGUACUUUAAGGAUGUAAAUCCCAAGUUCCCAGCUGGUGGUAAGAUGACGCAGUACCUGGAGAAUAUGGAGCUGGGCGACAAAAUCUCGUUCCGUGGACCAUCCGGACGUCUGCAGUACUUGGGCAACGGUACAUUCUCCAUCAAGAAACUGCGCAAGGACCCACCCAAACAUGUGACGGCGAAGCGUGUCAACAUGAUUGCCGGCGGCUCUGGCAUUACACCCAUGCUCCAACUGGUGCGCGAAGUGCUCAAGCGCAAUGACAAAGACAAGACCCAAUUGGCUUUGCUGUAUGCCAACCAGAGCGAGCAGGACAUUUUGCUGCGUAACGAGUUGGAUGAGUUGGCCAAGAAGCAUCCUGACCAAUUCAAAGUCUGGUACACUGUUGAUAAGGCAGCCGAAGCCUGGUCCUAUAAUACCGGCUAUGUGAACGAUGAGAUGAUGCGCAAGCAUCUCUAUCCCCCAAAAGGUGACACCCUCUGCCUGCUGUGCGGGCCCCCGCCGAUGGUUAACUACACCUGCAUACCGGGCCUGGAGCGGCUGGGACAUCACGCCGAUCAGCGAUUUAGUUAUUAAGUCUAACCCUAGUCUUAGAGCAGCGUGCGCAUUUUAGUUUCGCUUUCAUAUCACAUGCAAAAGGGAAAAUAAUUCGCAAGCAGGCUGGACCUAUAGUGUUGGCUUUAUCAAUGACGAAAUGAUUUCAGCGCAUUUGCUGCCAGCUGACGACGCGACCAUUGUAUUGAUGUGUGGCCCCCCGCCUAUGAUCAACUUUGCCUGCAAUCCUGCCCUCGAC